UUGGGUCAAGUUCGGCCCAGAUCAGUGCACAAGCCGUCGACUUCCGCCGCCGGCGGCUUCGUCGACGGCGGCGACAUCGAUCGCCGUCGCCGGCGGACAGAUGAUCCCCCCUCACGACACCGUUGCGGAGUCGAUGGAUGCCGUUGCUUCAUCUAACACAAGAAUCUUGUUCCUACGGAGGAGAACUCUGCCAAGACAGAAGAGCUGCCGCUGCCCAACACUCCAGUUACUGCCAUCAUCACUCACUACAAUUGGCCAAAUGAACAAAUUGUUUGAGAUUUCUAAAAAUAUUUUGCAUGGUAACUUUUUUCCUCUGAAAUUGAUGUCACUUACCUACUGUAUCAAGAAGAGCAGGAAAUGUGCAAGUGAUUCCUUUGAGGACAAGAGGCAUGUUUGGGCGGCAAAGCAGCAGCUCAAGAUGGACAGCCCUGAAUAUGCCCCUACCAGGAGAGCACUACUGACGUUCAUCUGGACAGCCACUGCCAGCCAGAAUGUGGCCAUCAUCUGGAAGGAUGUGAAGAGCACCUGA
rnacentral:lncRNA from 1 species